UACGUAGGGUGCGAGCGUUGUCCGGAAUUAUUGGGCGUAAAGAGCUUGUAGGCGGUUUGUCGCGUCUGCUGUGAAAAUCCGGGGCUCAACCCCGGACUUGCAGUGGGUACGGGCAGACUAGAGUGUGGUAGGGGAGACUGGAAUUCCUGGUGUAGCGGUGGAAUGCGCAGAUAUCAGGAGGAACACCGGUGGCGAAGGCGGGUCUCUGGGCCGUUACUGACGCCGAGGAGCGAAAGCGUGGGGAGCGAACAGG
rnacentral:rRNA from 1 species